rnacentral:rRNA from 1 species
UACGUAGGGGGCUAGCGUUGUCCGGAAUCAUUGGGCGUAAAGCGCGUGUAGGCGGUUCGGUAAGUCCGCUGUGAAAGUCGGGGGCUCAACCCUCGGAAGCCGGUGGAUACUGUCGGGCUAGAGUACGGAAGAGGCGAGUGGAAUUCCUGGUGUAGCGGUGAAAUGCGCAGAUAUCAGGAGGAACACCGAUGGCGAAGGCAGCUCGCUGGGACGGUACUGACGCUGAGGUGCGAAAGCGUGGGGAGCAAACAGG